UACAGAGGGGGCAAGCGUUGUUCGGAAUUACUGGGCGUAAAGGGCGCGUAGGCGGCCCGCUAAGUCGAACGUGAAAUCCCUGGGCUCAACCCAGGAACUGCGUCCGAUACUGGCAGGCUUGAAUCCGGGAGAGGGAUGCGGAAUUCCAGGUGUAGCGGUGAAAUGCGUAGAUAUCUGGAGGAAUACCGGUGGCGAAGGCGGCAUCCUGGACCGACAUUGACGCUGAGGAGCGAAAGCUAGGGGAGCAAACGGG
rnacentral:rRNA from 1 species